rnacentral:rRNA from 1 species
AAACCAACAGGGAUUGCCUUAGUAGCGGCGAGUGAAGCGGCAAGAGCUCAAAUUUGAAAUCUGGUACCUUCGGUGCCCGAGUUGUAAUUUGAAGAAAGCUGUCUUGGAGUUGGCCUUUGUCUAUGUUCCUUGGAACAGGACGUCACAGAGGGUGAGAAUCCCGUGCGAUGAGGUGUCCAAUUCUUUAUAAGACGUUUUCGAAGAGUCGAGUUGUUUGGGAAUGCAGCUCAAAGUGGGUGGUAAAUUCCAUCUAAAGCUAAAUAUUGGCGAGAGACCGAUAGCGAACAAGUACUGUGAAGGAAAGAUGAAAAGAACUUUGAAAAGAGAGUGAAAAAGUACGUGAAAUUGUUGAAAGGGAAGGGUAUUCAAUCAGACUUGGUAUUUAGUUAUCAUUACUCCUUGUGGGUGGUGCUCUAGCUUUUUACUGGGCCAGCAUCAGUUUUGGUGGCAAGAUAAUCGCAGUUGAAUGUAGCUCCUAGAGUAUUAUAGCUUCUGUUGAUAUUGCCUACUGAGACUGAGGUCUGCGGCUUUGCCUAGGAUGCUGGCGUAAUGAUUGAAUACCGC